rnacentral:rRNA from 1 species
GGUUGCGAUCAUACCAGCACUAAUGCACCGGAUCCUAUCAGGACUCCGCAGUUAAGCGUGCUUGGGCGAGAGUAGUACUAGGAUGGGUGACCCCCUGGGAAGUCCUCGUGUUGCAACCC